AUUGAACGCUGGCGGCAGGCUUAACACAUGCAAGUCGAACGAGUGGCGGACGGGUGAGUAAUGCUUGGGAAUCUAGCUUAUGGAGGGGGAUAACUACGGGAAACUGUAGCUAAUACCGCCUACCAUAGGGUGAGCCCACUUGGGAUUAGGUAUUUGGUGAGGUAAAGGCUAACCAAGCCGACGAUCUCUAUCUGGUCUGAGAGGAUGACCAGCCACACUGGGACGGAGUCACGUCCCAUGCUCCUACGGGAGGCAGCAGUGGGGAAUAUUGCGCAAUGGGGGCAACCUGACGCAGCCAUGCAGCGUGAAUGAAGAAGGCCUUCGGGUGGUAAAGUUCUUUCGGUAGCGAGGCGUUAACUACAGAAGAAGCACCGGCUAACUCCGUGCCAGCAGCCUCGGUAAUUC
rnacentral:rRNA from 1 species